CAGCAGCCGCGGUAAAACGGAGGGGGCUAGCGUUGUUCGGAAUUACUGGGCGUAAAGCGCACGUAGGCGGCUUGGUAAGUUAGAGGUGAAAGCCCGGAGCUCAACUCCGGAAUUGCCUUUAAGACUGCCGAGCUAGUAGGUGAGAGAGGUAAGUGGAAUUCCGAGUGUAGGGGUGAAAUUCGUAGAGAUCGGGAGGAACAUCAGUGGCGAAGGCGGCCAUCUGGGACAACACUGACGCUGAGGCACGAAAGCGUGGGGAGCAAACAGGAUUAGAUACCCCUGUAGUCCCUGUCUCUUAUAC
rnacentral:rRNA from 1 species